GUCUGAUGGAGCAACGCCGCGUGAGUGAAGAAGGGUUUCGGCUCGUAAAACUCUGUUGUUAAAGAAGAACAUAUCUGAGAGUAACUGUUCAGGUAUUGACGGUAUUUAACCAGAAAGCCACGGCUAACUACGUGCCAGCAGCCGCGGUAAUACGUAGGUGGCAAGCGUUGUCCGGAUUUAUUGGGCGUAAAGCGAGCGCAGGCGGUUUUUUAAGUCUGAUGUGAAAGCCUUCGGCUCAACCGAAGAAGUGCAUCGGAAACUGGGAAACUUGAGUGCAGAAGAGGACAGUGGAACUCCAUGUGUAGCGGUGAAAUGCGUAGAUAUAUGGAAGAACACCAGUGGCGAAGGCGGCUGUCUGGUCUGUAACUGACGCUGAGGCUCGAAAGUAUGGGUAGCAAACAGGAUUAGAUACCCUGGUAGUCCAUGCCGUAAACGAUGAUUGCUAAGUGUUGGAGGGUUUCCGCCCUUCAGUGCUGCAGCUAACGCAUUAAGCAUUCCGCCUGGGGAGUACGGCCGCAAGGCUGAAACUCAAAGGAAUUGACGGGGGCCCGCACAAGCGGUGGAGCAUGUGGUUUAAUUCGAAGCUACGCGAAGAACCUUACCAGGUCUUGACAUACUAUGCCAAUCUAAGAGAUUAGACGUUCCCUUCGGGGACAUGGAUACAGGUGGUGCAUGGUUGUCGUCAGCUCGUGUCGUGAGAUGUUGGGUUAAGUCCCGCAACGAGCGCAACCCUUAUUAUCAGUUGCCAGCAUUAAGUUGGGCACUCUGGUGAGACUGCCGGUGACAAACCGGAGGAAGGUGGGGAUGACGUCAAAUCAUCAUGCCCCUUAUGACCUGGGCUACACACGUGCUACAAUGGAUGGUACAACGAGUUGCGAGCUCGCGAGAGUAAGCUAAUCUCUUAAAGCCAUUCUCAGUUCGGACUGUAGGCUGCAACUCGCCUACAUGAAGUCGGAAUCGCUA
rnacentral:rRNA from 2 species